rnacentral:lncRNA from 1 species
CUGGAGCUAGAGGUGGAGACAAACCCUACUUAAGAGAUAAACCCCAUAGCUGCCUAGUUCAAUCGAAGGAAUGCUAAAGUUUAGAGACAAAGUUCUUACGAGCCAUGACAAAACCUGAUUUUGGGCUUGACAACCCAUGGACCUCGGUAUGACAAAACCGACCUCAGGCAGGGCUGUAAUUGCAACACUCCAAUAUUCGGUUGCUUGAGAAGACAUAUGCCAACGCUCUUAUGAUGCGUUGCCUUUAAGGCAACGAAGAACGCAAAUGAUGCGUCUCCAAGAGAGAGUCAAAAGCGAUCCUCCUCUCACCAGCUCUUUUUGUGUGUGCAUGUUUGCAUAUGUAUAAUGAGGAAGCUCAGCUGCAGCAGAGUGUCGUCUGACGAAACUGGUUUGCGCUCUGGGAUUUAACAUCUUGUGGAGUUCUGUUGCUUCUUUGGUUCCUUUAUUCGCUCAUCAGGUCGCCAACACAACAGCAAUCACUCUCAGCCGUCUUGUCUUCCAUCUGUAAUCUGUCUGUAACAUUUCGGUCGCAGUCUAUACUGCUAAAACGGCUCAGCAGGGCCUUUCUUGGUUUUGCAGAGUGUUUUUACUUCGAAGUAAGCCCUAACUCAGACAUCCAUUAUAUGCAUCUCCAGAACAAAAUGCCUUCAUCUCAGUAUUCUCUCCCUUUCUUCUCGGCAUGUCUCAGGGUCUCGUUAAUUCUGAUAGGAAUUCUGUUUGGUUGGUCUGGAAAAUUGAGAUCAUCUAUUCUUUUAAUGCACAUGGACUGGAAGCAUAUGGCAUAUUAUCC